rnacentral:rRNA from 1 species
AGAGUUUGAUCCUGGCUCAGGAUGAACGCUGGCGGCGUGCCUAACACAUGCAAGUCGAGCGAACUCUUCGGAGUGAGCGGCGGACGGGUGAGUAACGCGUGGGUAACCUGCCCUGUACACAUGGAUAACAUACCGAAAGGUAUGCUAAUACAAGAUAAAAUAUAUUUAUCGCAUGAUAGAUAUAUCAAAGCGUUAGCGGUACAGGAUGGACCCGCGUCUGAUUAGCUAGUUGGUAAGGUAAAGGCUUACCAAGGCGACGAUCAGUAGCCGACCUGAGAGGGUGAUCGGCCACAUUGGAACUGAGACACGGUCCAAACUCCUACGGGAGGCAGCAGUGGGGAAUAUUGCACAAUGGGCGAAAGCCUGAUGCAGCAACGCCGCGUGAGCGAUGAAGGCCUUCGGGUCGUAAAGCUCUGUCCUCAAGGAAGAUAAUGACGGUACUUGAGGAGGAAGCCCCGG